UACGUAGGUGUCGAGCGUUGUCCGGAUUUAUUGGGCGUAAAGAGCCCGCAGGCGGCUUGGCAAGUUUGAGGUGAAAUCUCCCGGCUUAACUGGGAGGGGGCCUCGAAAACUGCCAGGCUUGAGGCAUGGAGAGGGAUGCGGAAUUCCCGGUGUAGUGGUGAAAUGCUUAGAUAUCGUCAAGAACACCGAUAGCGAAGGCAGCUUACUAGACUGUAACUGACGCUGAGGCACGAAAGUGUGGGGAUCAAACAGG
rnacentral:rRNA from 1 species